rnacentral:misc_RNA from 1 species
GACGUAGGGCGCGAGCGUUGUCCGGAAUUAUUGGACGUAAAGCGCGCGCAGGCGGUCUUUUAAGUCUGAUGUGAAAUCUCGCGGCUCAACCGCGAGCGGUCAUUGGAAACUGGAGGACUUGAGUACAGAAGAGGAGAGUGGAAUUCCACGUGUAGCGGUGAAAUGCGUAGAGAUGUGGAGGAACACCAGUGGCGAAGGCGACUCUCUGGUCUGUAACUGACGCUGAGGCGCGAAAGCGUGGGGAGCGAACAGG